AGGUGGUGCAUGGUUGUCGUCAGCUCGUGUCGUGAGAUGUUGGGUUAAGUCCCGCAACGAGCGCAACCCCUACGGUUAGUUGCUAACGGGUAAGGCCGAGCACUUUAGCCGAACUGCCGUUGACAAAACGGAGGAAGGCGGGGAUGACGUCAAAUCAUCAUGCCCUUUAUGUCCUGGGCUACACACGUGCUACAAUGGCCUGUACAGACGGAGGCGAAGCCGCGAGGCGGAGCAAAUCCGAAAAAGCCGGGUCUCAGUUCGGAUUGCAGGCUGCAAUUCGCCUGCAUGAAGUCGGAAUCGCUAGUAAUCGCAGGUCAGCAUACUGCGGUGAAUACGUUCCCGGGCCUU
rnacentral:rRNA from 1 species